rnacentral:rRNA from 1 species
CACGUAGGGCGCGAGCGUUUGUCCGGAAUUAUUGGGCGUAAAGAGCUCGUAGGCGGUUUGUCGCGUCGGGAGUGAAAACCAUGGGCUUAACUCAUGGCUUGCUUCCGAUACGGGCAGACUAGAGGUAUGCAGGGGAGAACGGAAUUCCUGGUGUAGCGGUGAAAUGCGCAGAUAUCAGGAGGAACACCGGUGGCGAAGGCGGCGCUCUGGACCGAGACUGACGCUGAGGCGCGAAAGCGUGGGGAGCAAACAGG